UCAUAGGUAGCUCAGUGGUAAAGAAUCUGCUUGCCAAGCAGGAGACCUGGGUUCGAUCCCUGGGUUGGGAA
rnacentral:tRNA from 1 species